CGGACGCUCACGGUGGAGGAGACCACCGCGGCCCGCGACGCCGCCGUGGCGCUCGCCCACGAGCGCACCGGGGCCCAGCUCCGCGGCGUCUGACC
rnacentral:tRNA from 1 species